UUAAAAAGCUCGUAGUUGAACCUUGGGCCUGGCUGGCCGGUCCGCCUCACCGCGUGCACUGGUCCGGCCGGGCCUUUCCCUCUGGGGAGCCCCAUGCCCUCCACUGGGUGUGGUGGGGAACCAGGACUUUUACUGUGAAAAAAUUAGAGUGUUCAAAGCAGGCCUAUGCUCGAAUACAUCAGCAUGGAAUAAUAGAAUAGGACGUGUGGUUCUAUUUUGUUGGUUUCUAGGACCGCCGUAAUGAUUAAUAGGGACAGUCGGGGG
rnacentral:rRNA from 1 species